rnacentral:rRNA from 1 species
AGGGUGUAAACGCUGCGGGCUUGGUGUUGGGGGUCCUUUGUGGGCGCCCAGUGCCGGAGAGAAGUUGUUAAGCCUGCUGCUUGGGGAGUAUGUCCGCAAGGAUGAAACUUAAAGGAAUUGGCGGGGGAGCACCGCAACGGGAGGAGCGUGCGGUUCAGUUGGAUUCAACGCCGAAAAACUCACCAGGAGUGACGGAUAUAUGAAGGUCAAGUUGAUGACUUUACCUGAUUUCCGUAGAGGAGGUGGCAUGGCGUAGACGUCU